rnacentral:lncRNA from 1 species
CAUUAUCAUACAUUGGGCAUAAAACCCACAUAAACCCUAACAUGCAUAUCUACCCAAACUCAACCAUCAAAACCUCUUAAAACUCACUUAAAACUUCAUGAAACGUAAAGAAAAGCAUAGAUCCACACUUACCUCUUGAAGAUCGAGGGUUUGUGCGAGCUCUAACUUGGAGAUGGGAGGAAACUACUCCUUGGGUCUCCAAGCUCCCAAAACUCUGAUAUAAGCUUGAAAACUCUUCAAAACAACCAUGGAACUCAUAAAAAUAUGAAGGAGAUGAAGAGAAAACAUGAAAAUG